UACGUAGGUGGCUAGCGUUGUCCGGAUUUACUGGGCGUAAAGAGCGCGCAGGCGGUCGUUCAAGUCGCGUGUGAAAGCCCCCGGCUCAACUGGGGAGGGUCACGCGAUACUGAUCGACUCGAAGGCAGGAGAGGGAAGUGGAAUUCCCGGUGUAGUGGUGAAAUGCGUAGAUAUCGGGAGGAACACCAGUGGCGAAGGCGACUUCCUGGCCUGUUCUUGACGCUGAGGCGCGAAAGCGUGGGUAGCAAACAGG
rnacentral:rRNA from 1 species